rnacentral:rRNA from 1 species
AGCGAACGCUGGCGGCAGGCUUAACACAUGCAAGUCGAACGGGCGUAGCAAUACGUCAGUGGCAGACGGGUGAGUAACGCGUGGGAACGUACCUUUUGGUUCGGAACAACCCAGGGAAACUUGGGCUAAUACCGGAUAAGCCCUUACGGGGAAAGAUUUAUCGCCGAAAGAUCGGCCCGCGUCUGAUUAGCUAGUUGGUGAGGUAACGGCUCACCAAGGCGACGAUCAGUAGCUGGUCUGAGAGGAUGAUCAGCCACAUUGGGACUGAGACACGGCCCAAACUCCUACGGGAGGCAGCAGUGGGGAAUAUUGGACAAUGGGCGCAAGCCUGAUCCAGCCAUGCCGCGUGAGUGAUGAAGGCCCUAGGGUUGCAAAG